GAAGGAAGAUGUACGAGAAUUAAUUUACCGAGAGAUAUUGGAGUAUCAUCCCCAAAUGCUUCAGGAAUACCUGAAUGGUGCAGAUCAAACUAGCUUCCUGUACCCAAGUGGAGUUGAUCGUUUCAAACGACAGUUUGCUCAUUUGGAGGAGCAUUAUGGUAAAAGCGGC